AUACGGAGGAUCCAAGCGUUAUCCGGAAUCAUUGGGUUUAAAGGGUCCGUAGGCGGGCAGCUAAGUCAGUGGUGAAAUUCUGCAGCUCAACUGUAGAACUGCCAUUGAUACUGGUUGUCUUGAAUCGUUGUGAAGUGGCUAGAAUAUGUAGUGUAGCGGUGAAAUGCUUAGAUAUUACAUAGAAUACCGAUUGCGAAGGCAGGUCACUAACAACGUAUUGACGCUGAUGGACGAAAGCGUGGGGAGCGGACAGGAUUAGAAACCCUUGUAGUCC
rnacentral:rRNA from 1 species